AUGAUGGUCCCUGCUCAGCUCCUGGGGCUCUUACUGCUCUGGAUCCCUGCAACAUGUGGGGAUAUUGUGAUGAUCCAGACUCCACUCAGCCUGCCCAUCACACUAGGACAGACAGCAACCCUCACCUGCAAGUCUAUUCAGAGCCUUGUGUAUGGUAAUGGAAAGACUUAUUUGUACUGGCACCAGCAGAAACCAGGCCAAGCAGCACGUCUCCUGAUCUAUCAGUUUCUACUUGGUUCACUGGGGUCCCAGACAGGUUCAUUGGCAGUAGGGCAGUUACAGAUUUCACACUGAAAAUCAUCAGAGUGGAGGAUGAGGACAUAGCCAUUUAUUACUGCAAGUAA